rnacentral:rRNA from 1 species
GUAGGGAAUAUUGGGCAAUGGAGGCAACUCUGACCCAGCCAUGCCGCGUGCAGGAUGACGGCCCUCUGGGUUGUAAACUGCUUUUAUACGGGAAGAAAAAAUACUACGUGUAGUAUACUGACGGUACCGUAAGAAUAAGGAUCGGCUAACUCCGUGCCAGCAGCCGCGGUAAUACGGAGGAUCCAAGCGUUGUCCGGAUUUAUUGGGUUUAAAGGGUGCGUAGGCGGAUCUUUAAGUCAGUGGUGAAAGCCUGCAGCUUAACUGUAGAAUUGCCAUUGAAACUGAAGAUCUUGAAUGUUGUUAAAGUAGGCGGAAUGUAUCAUGUAGCGGUGAAAUGCUUAGAUAUGAUACAGAACACCGAUAGCGAAGGCAGCUUGCUGAACCAUUAUUGACGCUGAGGCACGAAAGCGUGGGGAGCGAACAGGAUUAGAAACCCCGGUAGUCC